rnacentral:rRNA from 1 species
GAUGAACGCUGGCGGCGUGCCUAAUACAUGCAAGUCGAGCGAACAGAUAAGGAGCUUGCUCCUUUGACGUUAGCGGCGGACGGGUGAGUAACACGUGGGUAACCUACCUAUAAGACUGGAAUAACUCCGGGAAACCGGGGCUAAUGCCGGAUAACAUUUAGAACCGCAUGGUUCUAAAGUGAAAGAUGGUUUUACUAUCACUUAUAGAUGGACCCGCGCCGUAUUAGCUAGUUGGUAAGGUAACGGCUUACCAAGGCAACGAUACGUGGCCGACCUGAGAGGGUGAUCGGCCACACUGGAACUGAGACACGGUCCAGACUCCUACGGGAGGCAGCAGUAGGGAAUCUUCCGCAAUGGGCGAAAGCCUGACGGAGCAACGCCGCGUGAGUGAUGAAGGUCUUCGGAUCGUAAAACUCUGUUAUUAGGGAAGAACAAAUGUGUAAGUAACUGUGCACGUCUUGACGGUACCUAAUCAGAAAGCCACGGCUAACUACGUG